UACGUAGGUGACUAGCGUUGUCCGGAUUUACUGGGCGUAAAGAGCGCGCAGGCGGUCGUUCAAGUCGAGUGUGAAAGCCCCCGGCUCAACUGGGGAGGGUCAUUCGAUACUGAUCGACUCGAAGGCAGGAGAGGGAAGCGGAAUUCCCGGUGUAGAGGUGAAAUGCGUAGAUAUCGGGAGGAACACCAGUGGCGAAGGCGGCUUCCUGGCCUGUUCUUGACGCUGAGGCGCGAAAGCUAGGGGAGCAAACAGG
rnacentral:rRNA from 1 species